rnacentral:lncRNA from 1 species
GGUAACCUGCCCUCCCUUCAUUUUCUUCCCAUAUUUUUUUUCUCGAACAAUUUUUAUUCACCAUUCAUCAUAAUACAUCAUAAUACAUUAUCACAAAUCACCAUCAUCCGUAACUAUCCACCACCGUUAUCACUGCCACCGGCCGAUGUCACCACCAUGCACCACAUUCAUCCGCCAUCGUCACCACCAUUCUCUACUGUCACCUAUAACCAUCAGAUCUACCUCCUACCACCAUUCAUCACCGUCACCACCGCCACCUACCACCAGUAGAUCUACUACACUACCACAUGACCAACAUAUCCACCAUCUACACCUAUCACCACUACUACAUACAUCACCAUUAUCAACCACGCACCAUACUAGAUCUACCAUCCGCUACCUUCACCGGAAUGCAUCACCACCUUUAUCCAUCCACCCAUCACCGCACCCAACCAUCAGAUCACUACCAAAUCCAAACCAUGGCCAAAUUAAAAAAUUAACAUGAGAAGUUAGUGGAGAGAGAAGAGAGAAGGAAAAGAAGAAGGGAAGAAAAGGAGAGAGAUCGAUC